AUUUUUGAUUACAGUUCAGUGGUAUUAAAGACACUCAUAAUGUUGUGCUACUAUCCCUGCCAUCCAUCUCCAGAACUCUU